CAGCAGCCACGGUAAUACGUAGGUGGCAAGCGUUGUCCGGAAUUAUUGGGCGUAAAGGGCUCGCAGGCGGUUUCUUAAGUCUGAUGUGGAAGCCCCCGGCUCGACCGGGGAGGGUCAUUGGAAACUGGGAAACUUGAGUGCAGAAGAGGAGAGUGGAAUUCCACGUGUAGCGGUGAAAUGCGUAGAGAUGUGGAGGAACACCAGUGGCGAAGGCGACUCUCUGGUCUGUAACUGACGCUGAGGAGCGAAAGUGUGGGGAGCGAACAGGAUUAGAUACCCGAGUAGUCCCUGUCUCUUAUAC
rnacentral:rRNA from 1 species